rnacentral:rRNA from 1 species
GACGAACGCUGGCGGCGUGCUUAACACAUGCAAGUCGAACGGAAAGGCCCUGCUUGCAGGGUACUCGAGUGGCGAACGGGUGAGUAACACGUGGGUGAUCUGCCCUGCACUUCGGGAUAAGCUUGGGAAACUGGGUCUAAUACCGGAUAGGAGCCAUCUUUAGUGUGGUGGUUGGAAAGUUUUUUCGGUGUAGGAUGAGCUCGCGGCCCAUCAGCUUGUUGGUGGGGUAAUGGCCUACCAAGGCGGCGACGGGUAGCCGGCCUGAGAGGGUGUACGGCCACAUUGGGACUGAGAUACGGCCCAGACUCCUACGGGAGGCAGCAGUGGGGAAUAUUGCACAAUGGGCGCAAGCCUGAUGCAGCGACGCCGCGUGGGGGAUGAAGGCCUUCGGGUUGUAAACUCCUUUCGCUAGGGACGAAGCUUUGUUGUGACGGUACCUAGAUAAGAAGCACCGGCUAACUACGUG